rnacentral:rRNA from 1 species
UGGGGAAUUUUGGACAAUGGGCGCAAGCCUGAUCCAGCAAUGCCGCGUGCAGGAUGAAGGCCUUCGGGUUGUAAACUGCUUUUGUACGGAACGAAACGGUCCCUUCUAAUACAGGGGGCUAAUGACGGUACCGUAAGAAUAAGCACCGGCUAACUACGUGCCAGCAGCCGUGGUAAUACGUAGGGUGCGAGCGUUAAUCGGAAUUACUGGGCGUAAAGCGUGCGCAGGCGGUUAUGUAAGACAGAUGUGAAAUCCCCGGGCUCAACCUGGGACCUGCAUUUGUGACUGCAUAGCUAGAGUACGGUAGAGGGGGAUGGAAUUCCGCGUGUAGCAGUGAAAUGCGUAGAUAUGCGGAGGAACACCGAUGGCGAAGGCAAUCCCCUGGACCUGUACUGACGCUCAUGCACGAAAGCGUGGGGAGCAAACAGGAUUAGAUACCCUGGUAGUCCACGCCCUAAACGAUGUCAACUGGUUGUUGGGUCUUCACUGACUCAGUAACGAAGCUAACGCGUGAAGUUGACCGCCUGGGGAGUACGGCCGCAAGGUUG